rnacentral:rRNA from 1 species
UUGAACGCUGGCGGCAGGCCUAACACAUGCAAGUCGAACGGUAACAGGAAACAGCUUGCUGUUUCGCUGACGAGUGGCGGACGGGUGAGUAAUGUCUGGGAAACUGCCUGAUGGAGGGGGAUAACUACUGGAAACGGUAGCUAAUACCGCAUAAUGUCGCAAGACCAAAGAGGGGGACCUUCGGGCCUCUUGCCAUCGGAUGUGCCCAGAUGGGAUUAGCUAGUAGGUGGGGUAACGGCUCACCUAGGCGACGAUCCCUAGCUGGUCUGAGAGGAUGACCAGCCACACUGGAACUGAGACACGGUCCAGACUCCUACGGGAGGCAGCAGUGGGGAAUAUUGCACAAUGGGCACAAGCCUGAUGCAGCCAUGCCGCGUGUAUGAAGAAGGCCUUCGGGUUGUAAAGUACUUUCAGCGGGGAGGAAGGGAGUAAAGUUAAUACCUUUGCUCAUUGACGUUACCCGCAGAAGAAGCACCGGCUAACUCCGUGCCAGCAGCCGCGGUAAUACGGAGGGUGCAAGCGUUAAUCGGAAUUACUGGGCGUAAAGCGCACGCAGGCGGUUUGUUAAGUCAGAUGUGAAAUCCCCGGGCUCAACCUGGGAACUGCAUCUGAUACUGGCAAGCUUGAGUCUCGUAGAGGGGGGUAGAAUUCCAGGUGUAGCGGUGAAAUGCGUAGAGAUCUGGAGGAAUACCGGUGGCGAAGGCGGCCCCCUGGACGAAGACUGACGCUCAGGUGCGAAAGCGUGGGGAGCAAACAGGAUUAGAUACCCUGGUAGUCCACGCCGUAAACGAUGUCGACUUGGAGGUUGUGCCCUUGAGGCGUGGCUUCCGGAGCUAACGCGUUAAGUCGACCGCCUGGGGAGUACGGCCGCAAGGUUAAAACUCAAAUGAAGUGACGGGGGCCGGCACAAGCGGUGGAGCAUGUGGUUUAAUUCGAUGCAACGCGAAGAACCUUACCUGGUCUUGACAUCCACAGAACUUUCCAGAGAUGGAUUGGUGCCUUCGGGAACUGUGAGACAGGUGCUGCAUGGCUGUCGUCAGCUCGUGUUGUGAAAUGUUGGGUUAAGUCCCGCAACGAGCGCAACCCUUAUCCUUUGUUGCCAGCGGUCCGGCCGGGAACUCAAAGGAGACUGCCAGUGAUAAACUGGAGGAAGGUGGGGAUGACGUCAAAUCAUCAUGCCCCUUAUGACUUGGGCUACACACGUGCUACAAUGGCGUAAACAAAGGGAAGCGAGCCUGCGAGGGUAAGCAAAUCCCAAAAAUAACGUCCCAGUUCGGACUGCAGGCUGCAACUCGCCUGCACGAAGUCGGAAUUGCUAGUAAUCGUGGAUCAGCAUGCCACGGUGAAUACGUUCCCGGGCCUUGUACACACCGCCCGUCACACCAUGGGAGUGGGUUGCAAAAGAAGUAGGUAGCUUAACCUUCGGGAGGGCGCUUACCACUUUGUGAUUCAUGACUGGGGUG